CAACAACCAAAAAAAAACCAAAAAAAAAAAAGAUAAAACAAAAAAAAUGUCUUUCACAGGAACUCUCGACAAAUGCAAUGUUUGUGAUAAGACAGUCUAU
rnacentral:sRNA from 1 species